UAACGCGUGAGGAACCUGCCUUUCAGAGGGGGACAACAGUUGGAAACGACUGCUAAUACCGCAUAACACAUAGGUGUCGCAUGGCAUUUAUGUCAAAGAUUUAUCGCUGAAAGAUGGCCUCGCGUCUGAUUAGCUAGUUGGUAGGGUAACGGCCUACCAAGGCGACGAUCAGUAGCCGGACUGAGAGGUUGGCCGGCCACAUUGGGACUGAGAUACGGCCCAGACUCCUACGGAAGGCAGCAG
rnacentral:rRNA from 1 species